CCUACGGGAGGCAGCAGUGGGGAAUAUUGCACAAUGGGCGCAAGCCUGAUGCAGCGACGCCGCGUGAGGGAUGACGGCCUUCGGGUUGUAAACCUCUUUCAGUAGGGAAGAAGCGAAAGUGACGGUACCUGCAGAAGAAGCGCCGGCUAACUACGUGCCAGCAGCCGCGGUAAUACGUAGGGCGCAAGCGUUAUCCGGAAUUAUUGGGCGUAAAGAGCUCGUAGGCGGUUUGUCGCGUCUGCCGUGAAAGUCCGGGGCUCAACUCCGGAUCUGCGGUGGGUACGGGCAGACUAGAGUGAUGUAGGGGAGACUGGAAUUCCUGGUGUAGCGGUGAAAUGCGCAGAUAUCAGGAGGAACACCGAUGGCGAAGGCAGGUCUCUGGGCAUUAACUGACGCUGAGGAGCGAAAGCAUGGGGAGCGAACAGGAUUAGAUACCCUGGUAGUCCAUGCCGUAAACGUUGGGCACUAGGUGUGGGGGACAUUCCACGUUUUCCGCGCCGUAGCUAACGCAUUAAGUGCCCCGCCUGGGGAGUACGGCCGCAAGGCUAAAACUCAAAUGAAUUGACGGCUGAGACGNGCGAGACGACGACGAGGGAGAGG
rnacentral:rRNA from 1 species